rnacentral:rRNA from 1 species
CAGCAGCCGCCGCGGGAACACCAGCACCUCGAGUGGUCAGGAGGUUUAUUGGGCCUAAAGCAUCCGUAGCCGGUUGCAUAAGUUUUCGGUUAAAUCUAUGCGCUUAACGUAUAGGCCGCCGAAAAUACUGUGCAGCUAGGGAGUGGGAGAGGUACACGGUACUCGAUAGGAAGGGGUAAAAUCCUUUGAUCUAUUGAUGACCACCUGUGGCGAAGGCGGUGUACCAGAACACGUUCGACGGUGAGGGAUGAAAGCUGGGGGAGCAAACCGGAUUAGAUACCCCCGUAGUCCCUGUCUCUUAUAC